rfam:Oryza rufipogon genomic scaffold, chr04
AAUAAGUGUAGUUUUACACUAUUCAUGUUUAACGUUUGACCGUCCAUCUUAUCUUAUUUGAAAAAUUUUAAAAAUUUUUAUGAUUAGUAUUUUUAUUGCUAUUAGAUGAUAAAACAUGAAUAAUACUUUAUGUGUGACUAAAUGUUUUUAAUUUUUUCAUAAAUUUUUCAAAUAAAACGGACGGUCAAACGUUGAACGUGAAUAGUGCAAAACUGCACUUAUU